rnacentral:sRNA from 14 species
AUAUUAUUAUUGUACAGAGUAAAAAAAAAUAACUGCAAAAGCUAGGUACUACCUUUUCACAACAAGCCUUCACGUUUUAUGUUAUUCGUUUUCUGUUAUUAUUAUAUUUUAAGCCCGGUUUAUUAUUGAACGUGGGAUUGCAGCGGUGGCCACCAUCAUCUCGACUUCAAU